AUGACCCCAUCUGCUCACUCUGGAAGUGUCAGCCGAAGACUGCUGCACAUCUUCGCUCACUGCUCCUUCUCGGCUGAGGUGUGGAGAUUAGCCUUUGCUACUUUCAACUUCCCCCUGAACCUGAUCCCCAGCGUGAUGAUGCCGUCUUUCAGGAAGUGGUGGGAGCAAGGUUAUGCUGUCUUGGCCUCAAACGAGUCUGAACAGAAAUGCUCUGCUCCGAUUACCCUGGUUUGUUGGUUCAUUUGGACUGCGCGGAUCUUUGAUGGGGUGGCCUGCACUGCUGCUCGGGUAAUGUGCAAGAUUGAGGAAGAACUGUCGGAAUGGGGAAGCGCCCGGAUCAGGGAUGGCAUGGCAUCUUUGACACAUGAAAUUGGUGUUGCAUUUUCUCUGUCUUCUUAA
rnacentral:rRNA from 1 species